GUACACGCUGUGACUAGCAUAUCAAUAAGCGGAGGAAAAGAAACUAACAAGGAUUCCCUUAGUAACGGCGAGUGAAGCGGGAAGAGCUCAAAUUUGAAAUCUUCAAGGUUUUACCUUGACGAAUUGUAGUUUAAAGAAGUGUUUUCUGUUGAGGUUUUGGUAAAAGUUCUUUGGAAUAGGACAUCAUAGAGGGUGAGAAUCCCGUAUUUGACCAUUAUUUUCAGCUUUGUGAUACACUUUCAAAGAGUCGGAUUGUUUGGGAAUGCAGUCCAAAAUGGGUGGUAAAUUUCAUCUAAAGCUAAAUAUUGGCGAGAGACCGAUAGCGAACAAGUACCGUGAGGGAAAGAUGAAAAGAACUUUGAAAAGAGAGUUAAACAGUACGUGAAAUUGUCAAAAGGGAAGCGUUUGACACCAGUGUUGUUUUUCUCGAAAAUCAAUUAAAGAACUGUUUAUGCUAAGCUGUUUAGACUUUAUCAGCUAUCUGUUUAGUUUUGAGCUUUUCUUUAAUGCACUUUUCAGUUAACAAGUCAACAUCAAUCUCUUUUGCUGUAAAAAAGCUUGAGGAAGGUGGCUUGAGAUUCGUCUUAAGUGUUUAUAGCCUCUUGCCUAUGCAGUCGGAGAGAUUGAGGUCUGCAGCGUAGAUCCUUCGGGGCUAAAUGCAUUUGUGCUAAGUUAUAGCAUUUUAUAGACAACUUGUUGACUAUAAUUAGUCUUGUAGCUUACUCGCUUAUGUUAUUUUACCUACGCUUAGGAUGUUGAACUACUGAGACAUAGA
rnacentral:rRNA from 1 species